GACGAACGCUGGCGGCGUGCCUAAUACAUGCCAGUAGAACGCUGAAGAGAGGAGCUUACUCUUCUUGGAUGAGUUGCGAACGGGUGAGUAACGCGUAGGUAACCUGCCUUGUAGCGGGGGAUAACUAUUGGAAACGAUAGCUAAUACCGCAUAACAAUGGAUGACACAUGUCAUUUAUUUGAAAGGGGCAAUUGCUCCACUACAAGAUGGACCUGCGUUGUAUUAGCUAGUAGGUGAGGUAAUGGCUCACCUAGGCGACGAUACAUAGCCGACCUGAGAGGGUGAUCGGCCACACUGGGACUGAGACACGGCCCAGACUCCUACGGGAGGCAGCAGUAGGGAAUCUUCGGCAAUGGGGGCAACCCUGACCGAGCAACGCCGCGUGAGUGAAGAAGGUUUUCGGAUCGUAAAGCUCUGUUGUAAGUCAAGAACGGGUGUGAGAGUGGAAAGUUCACACUGUGACGGUAGCUUACCAGAAAGGGACGGCUAACUACGUG
rnacentral:rRNA from 1 species